rnacentral:rRNA from 1 species
UACGAAGGGGGCUAGCGUUGUUCGGAAUUACUGGGCGUAAAGGGCGCGUAGGCGGCGUGUCAAGUCAGGCGUGAAAGCCCCGGGCUCAACCUGGGAACCGCGCUUGAGACUGGCAUGCUCGAGUUCGGGAGAGGAUGGUGGAAUUCCCAGUGUAGAGGUGAAAUUCGUAGAUAUUGGGAAGAACACCGAUGGCGAAGGCAGCCAUCUGGACCGACACUGACGCUGAGGCGCGAAAGCGUGGGGGAGCAAACAGGAU